UGGGGAAUAUUGCACAAUGGAGGGAACUCUGAUGCAGCGACGCCGCGUGAACGAAGAAGGCUUUCGAGUCGUAAAGUUCUUUUAUAUGGGAAGAUAAUGACGGUACCAUAAGAAAAAGCCCCGGCUAACUACGUGCCAGCAGCCGCGGUAAUACGUAGGGGGCUAGCGUUGUCCGGAAUCACUGGGCGUAAAGGGUUCGCAGGCGGAAAUGCAAGUCAGGUGUAAAAGGCAGUAGCUUAACUACUGUAAGCAUUUGAAACUGCAUAUCUUGAGAAGAGUAGAGGUAAGUGGAAUUUUUAGUGUAGCGGUGAAAUGCGUAGAUAUUAAAAAGAAUACCGGUGGCGAAGGCGACUUACUGAGCUCAUUCUGACGCUGAGGAACGAAAGCGUGGGUAGCAAACAGG
rnacentral:rRNA from 2 species